rnacentral:rRNA from 1 species
UACGUAGGGGGCGAGCGUUGUCCGGAUUUAUUGGGCGUAAAGAGCUCGUAGGCGGUUUGGUAAGUUGAAUGUGAAAUCUCCAGGCUCAACUUGGAGGGGUCAUUCGAUACUGCCAUGACUAGAGUUCGGUAGGGGAGUGUGGAAUUCCUGGUGGAGCGGUGAAAUGCGCAGAUAUCAGGAGGAACACCCGUAGCGAAGGCGGCACUCUGGGCCGGAACUGACGCUGAGGAGCGAAAGCGUGGGGAGCGAACAGG